rnacentral:lncRNA from 1 species
AAAUUAGGCUUUUUAAUCAUUUAAAAGUAACUGAAAAAUUGAAAACAUUUGAAUACAAUAUAGCAUAAUGCAACAUUUACGUUUUGCCCAUGGCCCUCCCUCAAUCAAGUUUGGGCACCUCAGCAAUGAAUAGUCGGUAUAGCUUACCAAUGCAGGUAUUAAACAAAAACGAUAAAAUUAUUCAGAAUCCCAAACGUUUAUCCCCUUCGAGCCUAAUCUAAGAAUCUGUCUACCUUUCCAGUCAAGAAUCCGAUUCAGAUGAUAAACAAAACACCGCACUGUCAUCCUGCACUUGACACUAAUUGCGUAUUAUUUGGAUAAUAACAUUUUUGGAAACCCCUUACAUGAACCUAACACUGAAACCAAAUUUGAUGGGUCGUUGACACAGACGCCUAUAGAUAAUUACGAUACAGUUAGUCACGCACUUGUCGUUCUCCAACGAUAUAAUGCGAUCAAACCAGACUGACUGUAGCUGUCACCAGCCGUCAUGUGGAAACCGGGAAGGCCCCUCCUUUCGGUAACUUGUCCUCUCCGCUCAAUCCGAACUCACACGGAGCAUGGCUUGAAGCGAUAUAGUCCCAGUCAUGCAGAGGCAAAACGAAAGCGAUGAGAUCCAGCAGUGACGGAAGUUUCAUUCCAAUGGACUAUGAGCGUUUCAAUGACAUAAAGUCAAUAAAGCUUCGAGUCAAUAAAACAACUGACCGCCAGGCAUUAUUCGCGUGGAAAAUCAAUAAUAAAACAUGAAUUUCCAUUUGUCCAUCUUGAAGCGAGUUUGCAGUGACGGCUUCGGUCUGCAUGUGACUAUGGCUCAGAAAUGACCAAUGCAUCGUCUUGGUACUUCUGUUUUGAUGCUUAUUAUACUACCUCUUGCGUUUUCCUGUGAAAGUGGCCACAAUAAAAACCAGAUCACGGAGGAUUACCGCAAUAUCAUUAGGAUACAACUGAAGCACGUUGUAAGUAUUAAUACCACAUGUAUGCCACCAGGUGAAGGGAUUCAAACAGUUUAGUUUAUGCUGGCCUAUUCUCACUUGUGUGUAGGAUAUACACAUUGUAAAACAUCUAUUAAAUUUACACUAAAAUGGGUAAAAUAAUUUACUUGGCCUAUGUGGCAGGCAUGACGGGAUAUUUGUGCCGUAAUUUACGUAUCAUUUACAGAUACAUUAGAAUAUAGCUGACACAGUGAACUAUGUAUCAGCGUUGUACCUUAAAAUUUAUUGAUAAUAACCACCAUAAUAAUAUGGGUAAUAUAAUAGGCCACAUGAUAAAGUUCAAAAUUGGAAUUUCCACGAACCAUAGCUAAUAAACACUGUAAUAUAUUACCCACAAAUAAUAUAUCAUGCUAACACAAUGCUUUAAACAUUUGAACAAAAACUAAAAUGUGACAAAACACAAGGUACAUAACUGAUUACUCAACAUAUAUUUUAGAGAAAUUACUUGAAUUUUCAUGUUAAAUAUAAUUUAGGUUCCCUUUCAAGGUAACUUCGAACUGCGUCCUCUAGGGGUCGCUAAGGGUAACUCCUCGUUGUGACCCGUGUCUGAAGCAUACAUUCAAAAAACACCAACAACAUGAUG